UUAUAAGAGACAGCAGUCGCCGCGGUAAAACAGAGGGUGCGAGCGUUAAUCGGAUUUACUGGGCGUAAAGCGUGCGUAGGCGGCUUCUUAAGUCGGAUGUGAAAUCCCUGAGCUUAACUUAGGAAUUGCAUUCGAUACUGGGAAGCUAGAGUAUGGGAGAGGAUGGUAGAAUUCCAGGUGUAGCGGUGAAAUGCGUAGAGAUCUGGAGGAAUACCGAUGGCGAAGGCAGCCAUCUGGCCUAAUACUGACGCUGAGGUACGAAAGCAUGGGGAGCAAACAGGAUUAGAUACCCCUGUAGUCCCUGUCUCUUAUAC
rnacentral:rRNA from 1 species